rnacentral:rRNA from 1 species
AUUGAACGCUGGCGGCAUGCCUUACACAUGCAAGUCGAACGGUAACAGGCCGCAAGGUGCUGACGAGUGGCGAACGGGUGAGUAAUGCAUCGGAACGUGCCCAGUCGAGGGGGAUAACUGCUCGAAAGAGCAGCUAAUACCGCAUACGACCUGAGGGUGAAAGCGGGGGACCGUAAGGCCUCGCGCGAUUGGAGCGGCCGAUGUCAGAUUAGCUAGUUGGUGGGGGAAAGGCCUACCAAGGCAACGAUCUGUACUUGGUCUGAGAGGACGACCAGCCACACUGGGACUGAGACACGGCCCAGACUCCUACGGGAGGCAGCAGUGGGGAAUUUUGGACAAUGGGCGCAAGCCUGAUCCAGCAAUGCCGCGUGCAGGAAGAAGGCCUUCGGGUUGUAAACUGCUUUUGUCAGGGAAGAAAUCUUCUGGGCUAAUACCCCGGGAGGAUGACGGUACCUGAAGAAUAAGCACCGGCUAACUACGUGCCAGCAGCCGCGGUAACAC